rnacentral:rRNA from 1 species
UACGGAGGGUGCAAGCGUUGUUCGGAAUUACUGGGCGUAAAGGGCUCGUAGGCGGCCAACUAAGUCGGACGUGAAAUCCCCAGGCUCAACCUGGGGAACUGCGUCCGAUACUGGAUGGCUUGAAUCCGGGAGAGGGAUGCAGAAUUCCAGGUGUAGCGGUGAAAUGCGUAGAUAUCUGGAGGAACACCGGUGGCGAAGGCGGCAUCCUGGA